UCAUGGCAUAUACCAACCACACCACACACAAACACACACAUAAUUUAUCACUAAGCUAUGGAGAAGAAAACACUAGCAGGCUUAUGCUUCCUCUUCCUCGUUCUCUUUGUUGCACAAGAAAUUGUGGUGACUGAAGCUAAGACUUGUGAGAAUUUGGCUGAUAAAUACAGGGGACCAUGCUUUAGUGGUUGUGAUACUCACUGCACUACCAAAGAGAAUGCAGUUAGCGGCAGGUGCAGGGAUGACUUUCGUUGUUGGUGUACUAAAAACUGUUAAAUGGAUUUUCUCCAACACCAAGAUGCAUGAAAUACACUUUAUAAUAUAACUAAAUAAAUAAAAUGCGUCGAUUAUAUAUAUGUGUACUCAAUAAUAUCGUGCAUAACGUAUUAGUUAUGCACUUCUAUCUAUCAUAUGAAAUAAUCAUCAAUCAGUAAUUUCGUUUCCAA